GACGAACGCUGGCGGCGUGCUUAACACAUGCAAGUCGAACGAUGAAGCCGGAGCUUGCUCCGGUGGAUUAGUGGCGAACGGGUGAGUAACACGUGAGCAAUCUGCCCUUGACUCUGGGAUAACUGCGGGAAACUGUAGCUAAUACCGGAUACGACACCUUGGGGCAUCCCAGGGUGUGGAAAGAAUUUCGGUCAAGGAUGAGCUCGCGGCCUAUCAGCUAGUUGGUGAGGUAACGGCCUACCAAGGCGACGACGGGUAGCCGGCCUGAGAGGGCGACCGGCCACAUUGGGACUGAGAUACGGCCCAGACUCCUACGGGAGGCAGCAGUGGGGAAUAUUGCACAAUGGGCGAAAGCCUGAUGCAGCAACGCCGCGUGCGGGAUGACGGCCUUCGGGUUGUAAACCGCUUUCAGCAGGGACGAAGCGCAAGUGACGGUACCUGCAGAAGAAGCACCGGCUAACUACGUGCCAGCCGCCGCAGUAG
rnacentral:rRNA from 1 species